UACGUAGGGGGCAAGCGUUGUCCGGAUUUAUUGGGCGUAAAGAGCGUGUAGGCGGCCAUACAGGUCAGCUGUGAAAACUCGAGGCUCAACCUCGAGACGUCGGUUGAAACCGUAUGGCUAGAGUCCGGAAGAGGAGAGUGGAAUUCCCGGUGUAGCGGUGAAAUGCGCAGAUAUCAGGAGGAAUACCGAUGGCGAAGGCAGGUCUCUGGGCUGAUACUGACGCUCAUGCGCGAAAGCGUGGGGAGCAAACAGG
rnacentral:rRNA from 1 species